rnacentral:rRNA from 1 species
CCUACGGGGGGCAGCAGUAAGGAAUAUUGGUCAAUGGAGGAAACUCUGAACCAGCCAUCCCGCGUGAAGGAUGAAGGGGCUCUGCCUUGUAAACUUCUUUUGUCUGGGGCGAAAAAGCUCGAUUUAUCGAGAACUGACGGUACCAGAAGAAUAAGCACCGGCUAACUCCGUGCCAGCAGCCGCGGUACUACGGAGGGUGACAGCGUUACUGGGUAUCACUGGGGUGAAGGGGUGUGAGUAAGUCAGAGGUGAAAGGCUGUGGCUUAACCAUGGAAUUGCCAUUGAUACUGCAGAGCUUGAAUGAGGUUGAGGUUGGCGGAAUGUGACAUGUAGCGGUGAAAUGCUUAGAUAUGUCAUGGAACACCGAUUGCGAAGGCAGCUGACUGGACCUAUAUUGACGCUGAGGCACGAAAGCGUGGGGAGCGAACAGGAUUAGAUACCCCAGUAGUC